rnacentral:rRNA from 1 species
ACUCAAUAGAUACCCGGGUAGUCCACGCCGUAAACGAUGAGUGCUAAGUGUUAGAGGGUUUCCGCCCUUUAGUGCUGCAGCUAAACGCAUUAAGCACUCCGCCUGGGGAGUACGGUCGCAAGACUGAAACUCAAAGGAAUUGACGGGGGCCCGCACAAGCGGUGGAGCAUGUGGUUUAAUUCGAAGCAACGCGAAGAACCUUACCAGGUCUUGACAUCCUCUGACAACUCUAGAGAUAGAGUGUUCCCCUUCGGGGGACAGAGUGACAGGUGGUGCAUGGUUGUCGUCAGCUCGUGUCGUGAGAUGUUGGGUUAAGUCCCGCAACGAGCGCAACCCUUGAUCUUAGUUGCCAGCAUUUAGUUGGGCACUCUAAGGUGACUGCCGGUGACAAACCGGAGGAAGGUGGGGAUGACGUCAAAUCAUCAUGCCCCUUAUGACCUGGGCUACACACGUGCUACAAUGGAUGGUACAAAGGGCUGCAAGACCGCGAGGUCAAGCCAAUCCCAUAAAA